UGGGGAAUAUUGCACAAUGGGCGCAAGCCUGAUGCAGCGACGCCGCGUGGGGGAUGACGGCCUUCGGGUUGUAAACUCCUUUCACUAGGGACGAAGCUUUUUGUGACGGUACCUAGAUAAGAAGCACCGGCUAACUACGUGCCAGCAGCCGCGGUAAUACGUAGGGUGCGAGCGUUGUCCGGAAUUACUGGGCGUAAAGGGCUCGUAGGUGGUUUGUCGCGUCGUCUGUGAAAUUCCGGGGCUUAACUCCGGGCGUGCAGGCGAUACGGGCAUAACUUGAGUACUGUAGGGGUAACUGGAAUUCCUGGUGUAGCGGUGAAAUGCGCAGAUAUCAGGAGGAACACCGAUGGCGAAGGCAGGUUACUGGGCAGUUACUGACGCUGAGGAGCGAAAGCAUGGGUAGCGAACAGG
rnacentral:rRNA from 1 species